rnacentral:misc_RNA from 1 species
GGAAGCAAAAGUCGUAACAAGGUUUCCGUAGGUGAACCUGCGGAAGGAUCAUUAAUGAGUUGUCAUGGGGUUCGAUGCUGGCAGCCAGUUUUUGGAUGCAUGUGCUUGCCCUAACAAUCAUCUUCUUCCAAACACCUGUGCACAUUUUUGAGGGAGUCUUGAGUUGGUUGCCGCUCUUGGGUGAUUUUCUCACAUUCCCUUAAAUCAUUAUACGCUAUUAACAAUGUUGAACGUGCUCUGUGCCGCAAGGCCAUUAAUAUAAUACAACUUUAACAACGGAUCUCUUGGCUCUC